GCUCACAUAGCUCAGAUGGUAGAGCACAUCCUUGGUAAGGAUGAGGUCACCGGUUCAAAUCCGGUUGUGAGCUCCA
rnacentral:tRNA from 1 species